rnacentral:misc_RNA from 1 species
GAACUGCGAUAAGCAAUGCGAAUUGCAGGACCCGCGAGUCAUCAGAUUUUUGAACGUAAUAAACGUCGAGGGGGAAAUCCUCUCGACAUGUUUGCUUCAGUGUUGAAAACAUCUCUACCUUAAUGCGAUUGAAUGCGCUCGCGCACUCUCUCGUCAAGAAGGAAUGCGCUGCAUUCGCGUCCAACGAAGUAGUCACUGCUGCUCUCGGGCAGUCAAGUGGGUUCGCUGGCGCGCGGGUGAGAGGGCAUAGAGCUUAGCGUCUUUGGAAAUAGCUAAAACCUGAAGUAGGCAAGACUACCCGCUGAACUUAA